ACCUGGGUGGCUCAGUCGGUUGAGCGUCUGACUUUGGCUCAGGUCAUGAUCUCACAGUUCGUGAGUUCGAGCCCCACAUUGGGCU
rnacentral:tRNA from 1 species